rnacentral:rRNA from 1 species
UUUAUAAUCUGGCACCUUCGGUGUCCGAGUUGUAAUCUCUAGAAAUGUUUUCCGCGUUGGACCGCACACAAGUCUGUUGGAAUACAGCGGCAUAGUGGUGAGACCCCCGUAUAUGGUGCGGACGCCCAGCGCUUUGUGAUACAUUUUCGAAGAGUCGAGUUGUUUGGGAAUGCAGCUCAAAUUGGGUGGUAAAUUCCAUCUAAAGCUAAAUAUUGGCGAGAGACCGAUAGCGAACAAGUACCGUGAGGGAAAGAUGAAAAGCACUUUGGAAAGAGAGUUAACAGUACGUGAAAUUGUUGGAAGGGAAACGCUUGAAGUCAGACUUGCUUGCCGAGCAAUCGGUUUGCAGGCCAGCAUCAGUUUUCCGGGAUGGAUAAUGGUAGAGAGAAGGUAGCAGUUUCGGCUGUGUUAUAGCUCUCUGCUGGAUACAUCUUGGGGGACUGAGGAACGCAGUGUGCCUUUGGCGGGGGUUUCGACCUCUUCACACUUAGGAUGCUGGUGGAAUGGC